AAUGUUCAUUGCCAAUUAUUCAGUAGACAUAUCCUUUUUCAAACUACUAUCAGAUUGGAAGGAGUGGUUUAAUUCCACUUUACUUAUGAGAUGAGAUGAAUUGUCUUCACCUCAGGUGGUUGUUGUGUGUGAAACAACACAAGUCAUGAAGGCUCACCUACCCUCUGAUGGUGUUAAAGAGUUCUUCAGCGACCCUCAGUGCAGAAUGGAUGUACAGACAAGCUCAUUCCUGGUGUUCAUUUGUUCAAUGACAUCUCAGGCAUAAUUUAGCAUAAUUGCAGACACUUACAAAACAUGCCUCAUCUUUGUCUCAUCUUUUUGAAUGUGUAGACUCCUGAAAUUUUACAACAAAAUGUACUACAAUUAUAUAGCUGUUAGUUCUGAGAUAAAUGGCUUUGUAUUUUAAAGGCUGACAUGAACAUGCUCACCAUAUAUUGUGAUUGAUGUCGAUUCCUGUCACUUCAGAUGUCACACUAUAUUUUUCACCCUUAUAUUAAUAUUUUUUAGCCAAAUUCACUCAAAAGCAUCUGUUUUUGUAGAGCACAUAUGCGUUAGCUUUACUAUGUACCCUGCCCAGUCCUUCUGCCAGAUAAGUGAUCCGUGAUUGGUAGAUAGAGGAUAGAAGGUUUAGUUGGAUCGCUGCAGAAAGGAGGUAUGAUUAUACUGUCAGUCUGCGACAGCAAUUUUGGCAUUUUCACCAGUCACUUAAACCAGCUGGCAGUUUUUUAUCUUGAAAUCUAGAGCGUAGACGUAUGUACAUUUUGGUAAAAGAGGAUGGCUUAGUUUUUCUAGGUGGCAUGUACAGGAUUCAGCUCAAUGAAGAUAAUUUAUUUUGAAACAGGCAAAAUGUUAGGCAUGCAGCAAGUACUUGCCCUGCUGUGUUUCAGAAGGUCAGGGUCAAGGCUGAGCCUCCUGCGGACUUCUGCAGCCAUAGUGUUAAUUCUCCAGACUAGUAGAAAACUGAGCAAUCACAUUCUGCUGGUGAGUAUUUGGACUUUCAAACAGUCAUCAAGGAUGAAUAGAGGAUUGUAAUUUUAAAAUCAGACCACCUUGUUCUUUUCAACCCCCACACACAGACAUUCCCACAUUUGGCAUACCACUGUAGUUGUGCUUUACUAAAGGACCCAGUGACAGAACAUUGUGAAUGUUGGAGGGCUUGUUGGCUCCAAAUCAGAAAGAAAAUUAGCUCAACAGUGCUCCUCAGUGCAGCGGAUGCUGUGCUUGUUUGAUGCAUUAUAUCAGAGGCAUUCAGAUUCUAUGAAUCCACUUUUGUUGCCAUUUAUCACACCCCUUUCAACCACAGAGACUCACAAGACUUUAACUACAGGGCAAGUCACUCAACAUCUAAAAUCAUGCAUGCUAAAAUCGCCAAUUUCUUCACUUUGCUGAAACGUAGACUCAUUUUUGCUUUGUUUAGCAUAUUUUAAGAAAAAGGUUUAUUCUAAAUUUAAAUUCUAUCAAGACAAAGUAACAAAUGAUGAAAUGCAUCUCUUCUAUUUUAAUAGGAGUUUUUGUCCUAACCUAGCUGCAAAGAGCAACUUUACAUUUUCUUUGUUUCUUCAUUUCCAUUUCUGUGUUGUUGCACUAGGUACCCCUGUACACACAGAAAUCUCAUUGGACCGAAGUACUGCUCCAAAUGUAGAAGUCUUAUAUCUAUAAUAAUAUACCUCAAACAUGGUUGAUGACUGAUUGUGGAAGUUGAUAAACAUUGGAUAUUAUAACAGAUCCCUUUAGUUUACCAGGAAAACUAUAAAAUAGAUAAAGUCUUGAAGUCUUGCAAAUACAAGUUAUGCGAAUUUUAGAUGUUUUAUCUUUAAUUAUGUAAUAAAUUUUUUUUAUUAUCUUGUGGUGACUACAGUCUUCCUGGCAUUUAAAUGGGUCACUCAUAAAUGGCUUAGAUGCAGACCAAACACAAUUUUAUGUGUUUCACAUGCUCCUCAGCUCCGUAGACCACUAAGACCUCCACUCAGCCUGUGACUCUUUCGUUGCCUAUUUUUGGGAAGCUUUUGUCAGUCUUGACAGAGAUUAUGCAGAUGAGGCAGCCACACGCAUCCUGGAACGAUUUAAACGGGUCGGUGUAAACAAAGAGUGUCGACAGCUUACAUGCUGACAGGAUGUGCCUCUCCAUCACCACUUUCCCUCAGGGCUGCCGAUGAAGGGGUUGCAUCUCCUCAAUUCAGAGCUCGUUUCACAGCCAACACAGCGUUGUAAGCUUUUCUCCUCACCCACACAACCCUUUUUCAGUAGCAGAAGGGAUGGUUUUAAUAAGCGAUUAUAUAUGUACUCACCAUAUAGUGAUUUUUAAAACCUCCACAUACUGUAGAAUCACUCAAAGGGUUGAAUAGUCUGAAGGCUAGAUUCAUUUUAAGGCUGGGUUUUUUUUUAAAGAUUGUGCAUUUCCUUUUUCUGAGAAUUUUGAGAGCAGAAGAGAUCAACAUUGCUCACAAUUGCUGUUACUCUGGACCUCUGCCCUAAAUUUGCAUUAUUUUCAAGUGGUGAAGAGAACCUCAAAAUAUUUACCAGUGGAUAAAGGCAUUACAAAUGGGGGGAAAAUGGGGGAAAAAAUCAAGGUCUCAACUUGAUUUUUUUUAGCAUGCAUAAAAACAUAAUAUUCUAGAUCUGGCUCUGAUUUAGGCCCAAUUUGCCAUCAAAGGAUGACCUGGCGCAGUUUCAAAAUUAUUUAAUUAAAAUGGUUCCAUUAGCCUCUGCUGGUAGAUGUUGAAACUGCACCGUCUUGUUCUCAAGCAUCUCCACUGAUGCACAUUCAAAAGCAGCUGGGUAUUCUGACAAGAUGUCUUUCUUUUUGUUAACAUUUAGCAAAUUUUUCAUUCGAUUUUUACCAGCUUAUUUUAGAGGGCUUGCUGAAUGGCUUGUUGGCUGUGUUUUUGUGGAGUUGAUCAGCAUUGUCUUGAUGAAAUAUUUUUCUGCUAACUUCUAACUUCUCCCUUUAAAAAGCUAAUCAGCUCUUUUUUUUUUUUUUUAAUUCGAGUGUAUAGUUGGUUGCAUUUAAUUAGAGAAUUUAUUUCUUUCUCCGACCCUAGAAAAACAUAACUGCUGCCCUAGACCAUUUCUCUCAACAGGUGUGCAUCUGGAAUUUCUACAGCUCAGAAGAAUUGUCACUUUUAUGAAACUCAUUAAUUCUUUGACUUCAAAGACCUGGUGAUUUUGAAGAGGAUCAAACAUGAAGGAUAUGUAGAAGAAGGGGCUUGCUUUUCUAGGUCAAAAAAACCUUUGCGGUUCAGGUCUGCCCUGAAAUUGGAGGAGAUUUGCGUUCAACAUGAUACGCAGACAAGACAUUCACUGGUAUCUACACAGAAGACAUUUGGCCCAGUGAUUAAGGCAUGCUUACUGCAAUAUUCAUCAUAGCUAGAGAUUGUCUUUUAAUGUCCCUAUCUUUUGUGUAAACUGACUAAAAAUGACAACCCUCACGAGUAUUGUUCUACCAUUUUUGUGCUCAAAAAAAAAAAUUGCUAACUUGUUCUUCUAAAUAGAAGUCUCUGUUGCAAUACACAUUAUACAUUUCAACAUGCAACUUUAAAAGUGCUACCAGCCCCUGGUGAGAAAAUCACUCCAUCAUUGAAAUGUAUUUGGAUGUAAAUUUUUCCACUUUGAUUAUCCUUUAUAUGAAACUGUGCGUGUAUUUAAACUGGCUACAUCAAUUUCAAAACUAGAAAAUACAAAGAGUAUAAACUUUAACUUUGCAAUGUUGUAAGUUGUCCCUACUAUAUUUUAAUGUUUGAAAUGUAUCAUUAUUUGCUAUUUAUAUUUUUCAGAACAAACAUAUCAUACAGUAUGACAUAUUGCAAUUAUCUGAAUAAUUCUGCCUGCUAAAAUCUAGUGUGACUGCACCACAAGACCUUCUUUAUAACAUUCUUUAUAAUAGUGUUCUCAAACUUUUUACGGAGGUGAGUGACUCAUCUCUUCCUCUGACCUAGCAUAAAACUUUAUAUGUUUAGUGGACUAAUGAUGCCUGAGAUUGUAUUUCUUGAAAAUUACAUUUUAUUCCUUUCAAAUCAAACAGGUAGCAGUCUCAUUAAGAGACCAGAAACAUCACAAUCUGACUUUGAACUACCGGUCAGUUAUUUAAAUAUAAAAGAAGUAAAAAAAUACAUAGAAAUCAAUUCACAUACGCAGUAUGCGUUUUCUUUGUUUACUGUUUAUGUUCUCUUAAGAUAUAACCAACCAUGUUUACAAGGAUAUUUUGACAAUUUUGUGUGUAUUUGUCCAUUCAAGUGCAUGUCAACACAAAAGAGAACUCAGUCCAGUAUUUUCACACUAUGUGUGUGUGAGUAUUGAAUUGAGUUCUCUUUCAUGUCUUAUGGUGCUUAAAUGUUUUAAAAUCACAUAAAAAUGUGCACACAAAAAUCAAUAAAUAGAAUCAAAUUGUAAUUUGAUAACAAGCAUCCUAUUCCUGAGCUUUUUGAUUCCCAACCCUAGAACUUAAGCUGUCAAAAAUGGCUUAUUUACUAAAGUAUCUUUAUAUAUUGUAAAGAGUGGUACACUGUACAUGUUGGUCUGCCAAAUGGAAAUAGUUUUUUUCUCAAAACAAAAAUGAAAGAGUAUUGGAUUCAAAUGUGGUUUCAUGUUGACUUGUAAUGGACACUGUAGUCUUUCAGUUGUUCAAACAGAUUAUUCAGUUGCUGUUCAGACUGAUGUCACAGUGGAUGGCAGGGUUUUGAACAUAGAGCCGUGGUCAGUGAGUCAUCUUUAAACAGAGAGCUGAGUGCUGGUGAAGUAGUCGGGCCAGCCUUUGAUGAGCAGAUAAAAAGAAGUGCUGGAACUCUGGCUUUUACUCUACCCCUUUUCAGCCUUUGAAUAAGGAAGGGACUUUUCAGAUGAUUCCUGUUUGUUUGUCUUUUUUGACAAACAAAUCCACCUCCCUGCAAGUCUGCUACUCUGUUUGAUGAGAAAAUGAAAGCCCAAGAGAGUGCAUUAUUCCCUCCAAUAUUUCUGCCACUAUCGGCAUUGUUUGUCUGUUUUAUCUUUGUGUGGCUAUAUAAUUCACCCAAACCCUCAUCCUCUGUUCAGUAGGAGAAUUUGGCAGCAUGACUCUUCUCAUAACCUCUCCACAUUGCCUCCAGCAAGUCAUCUCUCUCCCCAAGAGAGCAGAACCCUCUCUCACAGCUGUCAGACAUGACCGAGAACUUCUGGACUUACGUUGUGUAGGGCUCUUGCCACAAGGUUAUAAGUUAUCCAUGCUUUGCCUUGGAGUCUCUCAUAUGAUUGCCUUAUAGAAGUAAUCGCCCCCAGAUGAUUCAAGAGUCCAGGAUCUUUUGCAGCCCACACCACACAUCAGCCAAGGUUAAUAUACUGUAUCUGGAGACUGAUUCCAGUGUGCCUUCAAGUCAAAUAACACUGCAAUCUUAUUAAAUAAGAGCAAUUGCAUUCAUGCAAAAAGGCCCACGGGCUGAAACAUUGGGUGGAGGCAACACUGUUGAUUUGUUGUCAUUUAAAAGCAAAAACCAAGGAAAUGUAAGAGGUGUGCUAAGGUAAGAAUUACUUUUACUAUUGCUGAUACAGUGGGUAAAGCACUAUCCCUGAGUAUAACACUUCAGCACAUUCGAGAAAGGAAAUUCUCCCUUUUAAUGAGUUUAAAGAAUAUUCAGUAAUUUUUUCAAGGUUCCUUGGUAAGUCGAGCUGUUCAAUUGCACAUUUUAUGUUCCCAGGUAAAUUUGUAAUGAUGUUAUUUAAUUCUGAAGCUCACAAUUUAGACUCCUCCUUCAUUUCCCUUCAAAUGUUCACCUUCUUCAUUCCCUCGGUCUUGCUAGCAUUGUCAGCAGCCCAUUUUAUUGCAUAGACAGGUUUUGGCUUGCCUCCAGAAUGGCGCUCUUCCAUUCGUCUCCUCGGAGUCCAUUUGAUCACAGUAAACAAAUGUGAAUCCAUCAUCCCGAGGAGGAAGCUUGUCUUGUCCAUUACUUUCAGGUGAAUUUCCAAUGGAAAAUACUUGAAUGUUUUGAAAAUUAAUUAAGUCAGAACAGAUCAAGAAGAGGCCCUUAAUGUCUCUCAAUACCAUGUGUUUAUUAUUGAAAAGUUAAAGGCAAAAGUAAUCUUCCAUAAUUUCUCAUUGUGUAUACUGUAGGCUCACACACAAAGACAAGUGCUGUCCUCCAUUGCAUGGACAAACCAGUAGGUAAUAUUGACUAAAUGCAUUGAAGGAAGUGUAAGCCAUUUUAAGAGGAAAAAAGCAGCUUGGACAUUCUGCCUAACUCCUUUUGCAUUUUUAGAGUGCAAUCAUCAUGACACUGAGAUAGUCAUGACAAAGUGAGAAAUGUCUCCACAAAGAAAAUCCUCUCCCGACAACACUUGUGCAUUAUAAAUGGAAAUGACAACCAUCAUUUUACAUCAAGAUGCUGCUGAUGUGAGAACAGAGCUGCAAACCUCCACCCCCCACAGAACAAGUACAGGACAACCACAGAAAAUCCACAUUGGAUCUCUACACAGAAAGUGUAAAACGAUCACAAGCAGCUCAUGAGGAGACGGGAUUGAACUGUGACAGAAGAAAUGUGACAAUCUCUCGAGGGACUUGCUCAUGUCGUCUGUCAUCAAUCUGCUACAGAUGAGCCACGUGUCGUGAAUACAGAUACCACAGCGCCAUCUGUUGAAAAAUAUAUGCAACAGCAUUUCAUGCCAUCCAAAUGUCCACUAAGAACAGGAAUGUUUUUAUAACACUCAAGCAGAGGCUUCAGUAUUCACACUGUAAAAAUAUAUAACUUUUCAAUGAGUGAUAAUGUGCAGUCAACCAAUUAUUAUUGCAAAAUAAACCCUUGUGUACUUAUCCUGAAGGGAUUUAUUCUGCAACAAUGACCACCUGACUGUGUGAUCCUUCUUAUUAAAUGGCCACUUGGCAAAUAAAAAAAAAUAAAAAUAUGGUCAUGAAAUAUUGAUUUGAGAGGAAAUUGUUUUACCGUGUUAGAAGAAACAGACAGGAGUGUAUGUAUGUAAUAUAUGUAACACUUUCGUUUGGGGUCCAAUUCUCACUAUUAAGUAGUCGCUUAUUAGCAUGCAUAUUACUAGGAUAUUGGUUGUUUAUUAGUACUUAUAAAAGCACAUAUUAAUGCCUUAUUCUGCAUGACCAUAUUCUACAUCCCGUAAUCCUACAAUAUCUAAACUUAACAGCUACCUUACUAAUUAUUUAUAAGCUAUUAAUAAACUAUUAAGAAUUUUAUUGACGCAAAAGUUGCAGUUAAUAGUGAGAAUUGGACCUUUAAUCUAAAGUAUUACCAUAGCUGGUAAGAAGUUUCAUAGUUUCAUAGCUGGUAAGAAAUAGUUCUGCAUGGUAAAUAUUCUUGAUUCACUUUCCAUUGGCAGGCAUGACAAAAGUUAAUUUCAUCCCAUGCUCACACAUGUCUGACCGUCCCACUGUGCUCAUAAGAUGUGGCAUGUUUGUCAUUGGCCAUGAAAUUCAUCACCUGCACCUUCUAAAUCCUGCUUGAUCAAUUCCUAGUAGUAAAUUGGGGGUUAGCAAAACGGAAGCGUUCCACGCAAUCACGGCGCAUCCUCACACCAAAGUCCUCCGCUGCAUGGCACAUGCAAUUAUCUGCACCUUACCACAUUUAAAUCAUUGAUCGACACUUGGCCACGGUCACAGUGUCAGUUCAAGAGUGACGGGCAGAUCAAUUUUUAUUCCACCCACUGGAUGUUUGACUGGGUUUUGA